rnacentral:rRNA from 1 species
AAUGAUGGCCAGGCUGUCUCCACCCGAGACUCAGUGAAAUUGAACUCGCUGUGAAGAUGCAGUGUACCCGCGGCAAGACGGAAAGACCCCGUGAACCUUUACUAUAGCUUGACACUGAACAUUGAGCCUUGAUGUGUAGGAUAGGUGGGAGGCUUUGAAGUGUGGACGCCAGUCUGCAUGGAGCCGACCUUGAAAUACCACCCUUUAAUGUUUGAUGUUCUAACGUUGACCCGUGAUCCGGGUUGCGGACAGUGUCUGGUGGGUAGUUUGACUGGGGCGGUCUCCUCCUAAAGAGUAACGGAGGAGCACGAAGGUUGGCUAAUCCUGGUCGGACAUCAGGAGGUUAGUGCAAUGGCAUAAGCCAGCUUGACUGCGAGCGUGACGGCGCGAGCAGGUGCGAAAGCAGGUCAUAGUGAUCCGGUGGUUCUGAAUGGAAGGGCCAUCGCUCAACGGAUAAAAGGUACUCCGGGGAUAACAGGCUGAUACCGCCCAAGAGUUCAUAUCGACGGCGGUGUUUGGCACCUCGAUGUCGGCUCAUCACAUCCUGGGGCUGAAGUAGGUCCCAAGGGUAUGGCUGUUCGCCAUUUAAAGUGGUACGCGAGCUGGGUUUAGAACGUCGUGAGACAGUUCGGUCCCUAUCUGCCGUGGGCGCUGGAGAACUGAGGGGGGCUGCUCCUAGUACGAGAGGACCGGAGUGGACGCAUCACUGGUGUUCGGGUUGUCAUGCCAAUGGCACUGCCCGGUAGCUAAAUGCGGAAGAGAUAAGUGCUGAAAGCAUCUAAGCACGAAACUUGCCCCGAGAUGAGUUCUCCCUGACUCCUUGAGAGUCCUGAAGGAACGUUGAAGACGACGACGUUGAUAGGCCGGGUGUGUAAGCGCAGCGAUGCGUUGAGCUAACCGGUACUAAUGAACCGUGAGGCUUAACCUU